GUCGAACGGAGUUAUCAUUUUUGAAGCGAUUAGCUUGCUAAGAGUGGAACAGUUGAUAACUUAGUGGCGGACGGGUGAGUAACGCGUGGGUAACCUGCCUUACACAGGGGGAUAACACUUAGAAAUAGGUGCUAAUACCGCAUAAGCGCACAGUCCCGCAUGGGACAGAGUGAAAAACAUUAGUGGUGUAAGAUGGACCCGCGUCUGAUUAGCUUGUUGGCGGGGUAACGGCCCACCAAGGCGACAAUCAGUAGCCGGCCUGAGAGGGUGGACGGCCACAUUGGGACUGAGACACGGCCCAAACUCCUACGGGAGGCAGCAGUGGGGGAUAUUGGACAAUGGGGGAAACCCUGAUCCAGCGACGCCGCGUGAGUGAAGAAGUAUUUCGGUAUGUAAAGCUCUAUCAGCAGGGAAGAAAGAAAUGACGGUACCUGAGUAAGAAGCCCCGGCUAACUACGUGCCAGCAGCCGCGGUAAUACGUAGGGGGCAAGCGUUAUCCGGAAUUACUGGGUGUAAAGGGAGCGUAGACGGUAAUGCAAGUCUGGAGUGAAAGGCGGGGGCCCAACCCCCGGACUGCUCUGGAAACUGUGUAACUGGAGUGCAGGAGAGGCAGGCGGAAUUCCUAGUGUAGCGGUGAAAUGCGUAGAUAUUAGGAGGAACACCAGUGGCGAAGGCGGAUUGCUGGACAGUAACUGACGCUGAGGCGCGAAAGCGUGGGGAGCAAACAGGAUUAGAUACCCUGGUAGUCCACGCCGUAAA
rnacentral:rRNA from 1 species